UACGAAGGGGGCUAGCGUUGUUCGGAAUUACUGGGCGUAAAGCGCACGUAGGCGGAUACUUAAGUCAGGGGUGAAAUCCCGGGGCUCAACCCCGGAAUCUGCCUUUGAUACUGGGUAUCUCGAGUCCGGAAGAGGUGAGUGGAAUUCCGAGUGUAGAGGUGAAAUUCGUAGAUAUUCGGAGGAACACCAGUGGCGAAGGCGGCUCACUGGUCCGGUACUGACGCUGAGGUGCGAAAGCGUGGGGAGCAAACAGG
rnacentral:rRNA from 1 species